rnacentral:tRNA from 3 species
GGGCUUGUAGCUCAGUGGAUAGAGCGUCUGCCUCCGGAGCAGAAGGCCGUGGGUUCGAAUCCCAUCAAGCCCA